CCUACAAAAGAAUACACGUUUAGUAUAUCGCAUUGAGAACGUGUUUCCAACACAUCUUACUUGUGAGAUCUUUGGUCAUACAGAUUUGCUCUAAUUUCAAUCAUAAGGAGACUGCAGUUGUUUCUUUCAAAACUUCAUGCAAAAUACUAUUAGAUAAAUGAAGAUGAAUAUGAGAGAGAGCCUUACGUUCUUUUCGUUCCUUCUCCUCAUCUGACCAAGAAGCGGGCAUUUUAUCACGACCUAACAGCGCA
rnacentral:lncRNA from 1 species